CCUACGGGAGGCAGCAGUGAGGAAUAUUGGUCAAUGGACGAGAGUCUGAACCAGCCAAGUAGCGUGAAGGAUGACUGCCCUAUGGGUUGUAAACUUCUUUUAUAUGGGAAUAAAACAGGGUAUGCAUACCCUCUUGUAUGUACCAUAUGAAUAAGGAUCGGCUAACUCCGUGCCAGCAGCCGCGGUAAUACGGAGGAUCCGAGCGUUAUCCGGAUUUAUUGGGUUUAAAGGGAGCGUAGGUGGAUUGUUAAGUCAGAUGUGAAAGUUUGCGGCUCAACCGUAAAAUUGCAGUUGAAACUGGCAGUCGUGAGUACAGUAGAGGUGGGCGGAAUUCGUGGUGUAGCGGUGAAAUGCUUAGAUAUCACGAAGAACUCCGAUUGCGAAGGCAGCUCACUGGACUGCAACUGACACUGAUGCUCGAAAGUGUGGGUAUCAAACAGGAUUAGAUACCCCGGUAGUC
rnacentral:rRNA from 1 species